UACAGAGGUCUCAAGCGUUGUUCGGAUUCAUUGGGCGUAAAGGGUGCGUAGGUGGCGCCGUAAGUCAGGUGUGAAAUUUCGGAGCUUAACUCCGAAACUGCAUUUGAUACUGCGGUGCUUGAGGACUGGAGAGGAGACUAGAAUUCACGGUGUAGCAGUGAAAUGCGUAGAUAUCGUGAGGAAGACCAGUGGCGAAGGCGGGUCUCUGGACAGUUCCUGACACUGAGGCACGAAGGCCAGGGGAGCAAACGGG
rnacentral:rRNA from 1 species